rnacentral:rRNA from 1 species
CGCUGGCGGCAUGCCUCAUACAUGCAAGUCGAACGAGGUCUUCGGACCUAGUGGCGCACGGGUGAGUAACAUGUGGGAAUCUACCUGAAGGUUCGGAAUAACUGUGGGAAACUGCAGCUAAUACCGGAUGUGUCUGCAAAGAGAAAGAUUUAUCGCCUUCAGAUGAGCCCGCACUAGAUUAGCUAGUUGGUGAGGUAAUUGCUCCACCAAGGCUACGAUCUAUAGCUGAUUUGAGAGGAUGAUCAGCCACACUGGGACUGAGACACGGCCCAGACUCCUACGGGAGGCAGCAGUAGGGAAUAUUGGACAAUGGGGGAAACCCUGAUCCAGCAAUGCCGCGUGAGUGAAGAAGGCCUUCGGGUUGUAAAACUCUUUCAUCAAUGAUGAUAAUGACAUUAGUUGAAGAAGAAGCUCCGGCUAACUUCGUGCCAGCAGCCGCGGUAAUACGAAGGGGGCUAGCGUUGUUCGGAAUCACUGGGCGUAAAGCGUAUGUAGGCGGAUCAAAAAGUUAGAUGUGAAAUCCCUGGGCUCAACCCAGGAACUGCAUUUAAAACUAGUGAUCUAGAAAUUGGUAAAGGUUAGUAGAAUUUCCAGUGUAGAGGUGAAAUUCGUAGAUAUUGGAAAGAAUACCAGAAGCGAAGGCGACUAACUAGGCCAACUUUGACGCUGAGAUACGAAAGCGUGGGUAGCAAACAGGAUUAGAUACCCUGGUAGUCCACGCAGUAAACGAUGAGUGCUAGUCGCUGGUACAGUAGUAUCAGUGUCGUAGCUAACGCAUUAAGCACUCCGCCU